rnacentral:rRNA from 1 species
GGCUCAGGAUGAACGCUAGCUACAGGCUUAACACAUGCAAGUCGAGGGGAAACGACAUAGUUAGCUUGCUAACUUUGGGCGUCGACCGGCGCACGGGUGAGUAACGCGUAUCCAACCUGCCCACCACUUGGGAAUAACCUUGCGAAAGUAAGACUAAUGCCCAAUGACGUUGAAAGAAGACAUCUGAUUUCAACCAAAGAUUCAUCGGUGAUGGAUGGGGAUGCGUCCGAUUAGCUUGUUGGCGGGGUAACGGCCCACCAAGGCGACGAUCGGUAGGGGUUCUGAGAGGAAGGUCCCCCACAUUGGAACUGAGACACGGUCCAAACUCCUACGGGAGGCAGCAGUGAGGAAUAUUGGUCAAUGGGCGAGAGCCUGAACCAGCCAAGUAGCGUGCAGGAUGACGGCCCUAUGGGUUGUAAACUGCUUUUAUAAGGGAAUAAAGUGGGGCUCGUGAGCUCCUUUGCAUGUACCUUAUGAAUAAGGACCGGCUAAUUCCGUGCCAGCAGCCGCGGUAAUACGGAAGGUCCGGGCGUUAUCCGGAUUUAUUGGGUUUAAAGGGAGCGUAGGCCGCAGGUUAAGCGUGUUGUGAAAUGUAGGGGCUCAACCUCUGCACUGCAGCGCGAACUGGCUUGCUUGAGUACGCACAACGUGGGCGGAAUUCGUGGUGUAGCGGUGAAAUGCUUAGAUAUCACGAAGAACUCCGAUUGCGAAGGCAGCUCACGGGAGCGCAACUGACGCUGAAGCUCGAAAGUGCGGGUAUCGAACAGGAUUAGAUACCCUGGUAGUCCGCACGGUAAACGAUGGAUGCCCGCUGUUGGUCUGAAUAGGUCAGCGGCCAAGCGAAAGCAUUAAGCAUCCCACCUGGGGAGUACGCCGGCAACGGUGAAACUCAAAGGAAUUGACGGAAGGG